GUGGUGGCACACGCCUUUAAUCCCAGCACUUGGGAGGCAGAGGCAGGCGGAUUUCUGAGUUCGAGGCCAGCCUGGUCUACAAAGUGAGUUCCAGGACAGCCAGGGCCAUACAGAGAAACCCUGUCUCUGUACAAACAAACAAAAAAAAGCAUCAUACAUUUAGGUGACCCUCUGCCUGGCCAGGGACCACCUGCCUGCUUCCCCACACUAUAAAGAGGGACAGACAGAACAAGCUUGGGAGCAGAUGUGGUCAUGACUGGCAUGUCAGGACCUGGUAUGAUUUUGACCACAGGGAGACUUCAUCCUGGCCAGUGGGGAAGGCACACAGGCUCCUAGUGUGUGCAUACAGAGCAGAGUGAGGCAGACACAUUCCUGAGACAGGAUGCUCAUUUGGAGUUGAGGUGCAGUAGACGGGGAGGGAACUGGAGGACCAGUCUUCUUAGCAUCCAAGUGCUGUGUCCUGCUGAUGGGGCUGGAAAGCCUGUCCACAUGAAGGAACUCUUCCGUCCCUAAACAGCUUUUCUGGAUGGCCCAAAUAAUUGUCAGACUGAGCCCAGAGGUUUCACCUGCAGGAGGUCUUCUGGCCUGUAUGCCUUACUCAGGUUGGGGUGCAGGGACUGGGAACCACUUAGUAAUGUUUAACAUUAAUCACUGAAAUAUUUCCAAGCAUGGGAUUUGGAUGUGCUCAGGACUGGCCACUAUAUGGAGGCACUUCACUGCAAAGCAAAUACGCCCAAUAAAGAUUCCAUGAGGAAGCUUGUGUCUGUGGUCCUAGGGAAACCCAGGCACUGCCUAGCUUCCUCCUCAAAAUUCAGUGUUCAUACAGUUCCUCAUGUUGUGGUGACCACAACCAUGGAAUUGCUUUUGUUGCUACUUCUUAACUGUAGCUUUGAUACUGUUAUGAGUUGUAAUGUAAAUAUCUGAUAUACAGAUGGUCUUAGGCAAUCUCCUUGGAAGGCUCAUUUGAUUCCCCCAAAGGAGUCGUGACCCACAGGUUGAGAACUGCUGUAAUUCCUUAUUAUCUGUGCUCAUUAAAUCAGCUGGCUGCCUGCCACCCACUCUCAC
rnacentral:lncRNA from 1 species